UAGGGAAUCUUCGGCAAUGGACGAAAGUCUGACCGAGCAACGCCGCGUGAGUGAAGAAGGUUUUCGGAUCGUAAAACUCUGUUGCUAGAGAAGAACAAGGACGUUAGUAACUGAACGUCCCCUGACGGUAGCUAACCAGAAAGCCACGGCUAACUACGUGCCAGCAGCCGCGGUAAUACGUAGGUGGCAAGCGUUGUCCGGAUUUAUUGGGCGUAAAGCGAGCGCAGGCGGUUUCUUAAGUCUGAUGUGAAAGCCCCCGGCUCAACCGGGGAGGGUCAUUGGAAACUGGGAGACUUGAGUGCAGAAGAGGAGAGUGGAAUUCCAUGUGUAGCGGUGAAAUGCGUAGAUAUAUGGAGGAACACCAGUGGCGAAGGCGGCUCUCUGGUCUGUAACUGACGCUGAGGCUCGAAAGCGUGGGGAGCAAACAGG
rnacentral:rRNA from 1 species